GAUGAAGAACGUAGCGAAAUGCGAUACGUAGUGUGAAUUGCAGAAUUCCGUGAACCAUCGAAUCUUUGAACGCAAAUUGCGCUCGAGGCCUCGGCUAAGAGCAUGUCUGGCUCAGCGUCGGCUUACUACCCUCAAUCAAUUACCUUGGGAUGAUUGGUUGGAGCUGGCUUUCCGGUGUUCCAAUCAGGUUGCCGGUCAGCUGAAAAACAUUCACGCUGUGGAAGUCGCUUUCCCUUCAAAAAGGAAAGCCGAGUUCCGAUUUGGUAGGUGACCUUUGCCGGUUGCAUGCCUUCGUUGCUCGUUUUGGCUUUCAUGAUAGCGUGUGCAGGACGCCAUUUUGGCUUUCGACCUGAGCUCAGGCAAGAACACCCGCUGAACUUAAGCAUAUCAAUAAGCGGAGGA
rnacentral:misc_RNA from 1 species